rnacentral:rRNA from 1 species
CCUACGGGAGGCAGCAGUGAGGAAUAUUGGUCAAUGGACGCGAGUCUGAACCAGCCAAGUAGCGUGAAGGAUGACUGCCCUAUGGGUUGUAAACUUCUUUUAUCUGGGAAUAAAAUGUUCCACGUGUGGGAUUUUGUAUGUACCAUAUGAAUAAGCAUCGGCUAACUCCGUGCCAGCAGCCGCGGUAAUACGGAGGAUCCGAGCGUUAUCCGGAUUUAUUGGGUUUAAAGGGAGCGUAGGUGGAUUGUUAAGUCAGUUGUGAAAGUUUGCGGCUCAACCGUAAAAUUGCAGUUGAAACUGGCAGUCUUGAGUACAGUAGAGGUGGGCGGAAUGCGUGGUGUAGCGGUGAAAUGCUUAGAUAUCACGAAGAACUCCGAUUGCGAAGGCAGUUCACUGGACUGCAACUGACACUGAGGCUCGAAAGUGUGGGUAUCAAACAGGAUUAGAUACCCCUGUAGUC